rnacentral:tRNA from 1 species
GGUGGCUCAGUGGUAGAGUGCUUGCCUUGCAUGCAUGAGGCACUGGGUUCGAUUCCUCAGUACCA